GUCUGUUAGAAAUUCGUCAGCAAAAUAACAGCUAUAAAUGAUCAGUUUUGUCUGAUGUCUCAUGAGGUUUCCGUAGGUAAUCUGAACAUAAUUGUUGGGAACAAAUGAUUUAAAUAGAUAAAAGUGGAUACAAUAACUGUUUUAUGGUUUGUAUACUUGGGAAAAAAAAACAGCUUCGAAAUUCUUUUUGGUAACAAUCUUCAGUUUUGCCAAGUUAACUUAAAUGAUAAAAAAUCUGAGUAUCUGGGUCAUUUUUGGAUUGGAUAGAACACUGAAACAUUAUUGCUAAAUGUAUCUAAGUUUAUCUACUUUUGCCUUCUUAUUGCAGAGAGGCUAAAAGUCUUUGGGUCUUUUACUGUAAAGUGUGGGGUGUUUCUAGAAAUUAUGAAAAGUGUUUAGAAUGCUGAUAUAAAAGACAAUUCAUAAUUGCUUACCAUUUUCGUGUUUCCUACGGUUUGUUAAAGGUUAAAGAGUUCUAAUAUAUGUGAUUAAAGCUGCUAGAAAUUAAUAAGAAAAACAGCUCUGUAUUUAAGGAAAGUAAGGUGUAAAUUUUUAGUAAAGAAGGUAUGAAGAAUGGAAUAUUUUUGUUUGAUGGGUUAAGAAAAGAUAAACUUGUCCUAAAGUACUAGGUGGAAAAAAAAAAAAAGAAAGACUUUGGGACAAAUUCUGAAGGCAAACCGAAAGUUGUAGAAGGUCUGUGAAGGAGAAAUUCUGAAAGGAGUUUUAUGCCUGGUGAAGUUGGCUAAGAUUGAAAUGAAUCUAAUUAAGUAAAUGGGUUUUAAUAUGAAAAAGUAAAGUGGUACAGAAAUUAAAAUUUGGUUUUCUCUCAAAGGAUAAUUGUCUUGAACUUUUGGUCUGCUCUUGAUAAAGAGGUUAUAAAAGGUGUUCCUUUGAGUAAGUCUACCUAAAAGACAAAUCCGUUUUGUUAGUAUAAUGACUGAGGUCACUCUUAAGACUUUUGACUGUUUCUGUUGUCACUUUAAAUGGAUACCUGAGCAUUGUCUGACAGUGAGAGUUGUUUGAACAAGUGUUUUCAAAUCUUUUGAUAUUUUUGACAAGCUUCUCCCUCAAGAAUAUUCAAGUCCCGAAUGAAGGCUGUCUUUUAACCUGGUAGAAGGGGGAGGAUUUCUCUGGGGAUUUUCAGACGGCCCCUGGGACUUCGGAGAGACAUUUGUUCUCCCUUCCUGUAAGGUGGAAGAUUCUAAACUAAUUAGGCUUCCUUGGUAGGUUAAUUUACAUUGGAAGCAUUAUCAGAUAAGCGAUGAUAAUCUUUCCUAAGUGGUAUUAUGUGGGUAAAUAUUACUGAUAUAAGUGUUUUGAAAAUUAGAUAACAUUCCUAAAAUUCUGAUCUGUCCUGGCUAUCAGCCAUAAUUCUAACUAUCAUUUUAAGUUGUUGUAUAUCAGAAAUAAUAAGUUUCUCUGUCAAUUGUCAUUUUUAAGUCUUUUGUUGCCUACAGUCGGUUGUUUUACUCUGAUGCUCUUUGCUUUUGCAAAUACACUCAUCUUCAGAGACAUUCAUGGAAAAGACUCUGACACUUACUCUGGAUUACAGUUUUCUGAUAAACUUUCAGAUCACAGAACUGGACUGGGUAAGAAAUUACAGAAAUCUAAUGGAGAAACGGAUAACCUCAUAGAUCCUCCUAACAGGAGCUUAAGCUCAGUAAUCAAUUAUACAGGACUGUGUGAACUGAUGAGGAUGAUUAUGACUUUUUAUGACUUUUAUUUGAAAUAUUGUUGAUUCUUUUGAUGUUUGGUUUUGUUUUGUUUCCUCAGAUUUAAGGAAAUCUUUUCUCUUAGGCUGACUAUGACUUACAGCAAUUUAGUGAUAGUAUAACAUUAUGAGCAAAACUGAAACAUUUAUCUUUUUCUCCCUACCUGAUCCCUCCAGAAUUUGGAAACCUAGUAAGUGAGUGAGUAUGGUUGUUUCAUGGCAAUAUUGUUAUUUGCAUAAGUUCAAUAAGAAUCUGUCCUCCUUAUAACAGGACAUUGGUUGUAUUACCAAGGCUUUGACUGGAAUGUCAUAUUUGAGAGAAACGUACAGACUCGGAUAUGACAAUACUGCCUUUGAGGAAUAAGGUUGACUUUCUGGAAAUAAAGCCACUUGGAAACAUGGGCCUGGUACCUUGUGUAUAGAGAUUAUGGCAAUCUUACCCGGUAAGUAAGGAAGCUUGCUUAUCUGGCAGAUGUAAGGAAACUUGGAAUAUUUUGGGGGAACUCAAGAAGAGAGGAGUCCACCCAAAUCUGUAGGUACUGUAGGCAAAAUCUGACAGCAAGUCCUUGGCGUGGCUUUCCUGGCCUCGAGAGGUCUUUAAAGUUCAAUCUGAGAUUCCUCAUAAAAAAUUUCAGCAAAGCAGAUGUAAGAGCCUAUAUGAUCAACUGCUAUUCUUGCUGCACUUAUGUAAAUAAUUGGGCCAAGUUUCUUGAAACUAAACUUAUUUUGCAAACGAAUUAGUCUUAAUUUGGCUAUCUUUGGUAAAAAUGAGGGUGAUUUUAGAGAGAAGAACUAUGUUUCAGUGAAAAGCUAUAAGACACAUUUGUGGAUGUUAGAUCCUAGCUUUGUUAACUGUCUUUGAGGGUUUUUUUCCACCUGUGAACUGGACUGGAUCCUGAAUUCUUCUGCUGAAAUAUCUGGUUACAAAUCUCCAAACUAAUGUUUUCAAUCUUUUCCUCAUUUUCAUUUGGAAUCAUUGAGAUUUGAACCUGCUCUUUUUCCUGAAGCCUUGCAAACUAAAGCUGAAUGACUUGAUAAAAACUUGAGAGAUUCCUGUCUGCUGCUGUGUAAGCUGUAAGCCACUCAGAAAGAUAUCUGAAUGCCUGAUGACAUCAUCAGAGACAUUUCAAGCUGCUAAAGAUGCUUCACUCCGACAUCCAGAAGUCUUCUUGACUGGCUGCCUCCUGGACUCAGGAACUAGUUUAUAAUUUGCUCCAACCAUUAACCUUGUUUUUCUUUUUAUUUCCAUAGAAAUACUUCUUAAACACCUGAUUGCUUGCUUCCAAAAUAAAGGCCUAACUUUGGGAGCCCACCUGCGUUGCCACCUUCUAAAAUGAAUUUAACUGGACUGAUCUAUUACCAGGACUAAGAAAUGUGUUCAGUGAGAUGAAACAAUCUACCACUCAGCUUCUGGAUUGUGAAACUUUUAGUUUCAAAGGCAAGGAACUGAUUGCUGCGCUCAUCUGUGAUCCCCCAGCCCGAGGCAACACACCUGCCACCCCGCAGCGUUCACUGAGACAGCAGACCUAUCUGCCUCCAUCAAGGGCUGUGCUGACAGAGCAGGCUCGUGACUGUUGUAAAAGGGACAUUUCAAUCAUACGUGAAACACCCUGUUUGGGGGAUAUAGAACCACUCUGUGCACCCCACUUCUUCGGUGCCCUUUCUUCCUUCGGGAAGAAAGGCCCCGGGCCAUGGCUCCUCAUAAAGCUUUGUUUAAUUUUCUCUUGCUAUUCUGUCUCAGGUGAAUUUAAUUCGUUCUCCGGCCAGACGAACCCACAUUUGGGAAGAGGAAAUGUCUUCCUCCCCUACAUUAACUAGCCUCACCGUGCUGUACACUAGAUCCUCAGAACUUAUUCAUCUGAAAACUGAAAGUUUGUACCCUUUAAACAUCUCCC
rnacentral:lncRNA from 1 species